GACUGACAUUCUAUUUGUUUCUCUUCCACCUUCCACAAGGAUCAUGAAGAUCUUUUGUCUCGUGUAACAAACGAUGUAACAGCUUCUAUUCUCCUGCAGGAAGGAGGAGGAGGAGGAGGAGGAGGAGGAGGAGGUGAGCGUCUUCAGGAAGACCCGGCAUCCUUCCUCCAAGACGUCUGAGUAUGAAAACAUUCUGCGUUUGUCGACGCCCAGACCCAGGAGCUGCGGCCCUCAGGAAGAUGGGCGUCCUCACACGUCUUUCUGUGAGAGGAUUUGUCCCAUCUGGCACGUCGACCCCAGGRUGAAGAACGCCGUCAUCACUCCCAGACUGCUGCAGCUCUCAGAACCCAAGCGAACCCACCCGGACCACCAGAACAACAAGGAGAGCGCCGCGUCCGUCGUCUCCUUAGCCUCCAGAACCGCCAGCGCCUCUCAGAGACUGGUCCGGUUGUCUCGACCCAAACUGAGGGAAAGCAACGUCUGCUGCCCGCUGGGACGCCUCGAGGAACCCAUCUGGGCCGUGUCGCCGGCGGCGCUCAGAGCCACAGGAUCGGGUCGACUCCAGACCCUGGCAGCUCCGAAGCAGCUUCACAGAAACUACCUUCCUCCUCGAGAAGCAGAGUGGAGCCGGAGAAACUGAGCCUCGGACCAGAACAUGACCAGAACCUCCAGUUCCUGACCCACCAAACCAGAAACCAGACAGGUUUGAACCAGUCGCUGAAAAAAAAUAGAAAGUUUGAAGACAAAUGUUUGUUUCAGGAAGGAAGUCAGUUUAUUCCUUGUUGUCUGUUAGCAAAAUAUCUCACCAACAAUUCAAGGAGAUUUAUAAACUCAGGCAGGAAAUCUGAACCUUUCCUGUAGAAGUGAAGCUCAGAGUCGCCUGAUCUGAAAUCAGAAAACUUAAUUUGAUACUUUUUUAGUUUGAUUUGACCUCUGUCUGCAGGAAGUUAAACUUUGCUCUUUUUUGCACAAAAAUAAUUAUUUUUAUUUAUUAUUCAGUGUUUUUUCUAAGAUUUUGCUUCAUUUGCUUAUUUCCCCUGAGCUGUUCUUCAUAAAUCUGAUCAAAUCCAUCAAAAAUAAAAUCAUUUUUUAUCACAUACAAACCAUAACAUUUAUUGGCUGAAAAAAUGUUAAAUAAUUGAUAAAAAUUGAGAAAAUUCAAUGAGUUAAAGAAGAUUUGUUGAAGAAACAAAAAACUACCGUUAAAGUUAAAACUUUAG